ensembl:lncRNA
AUUUUCUAGCAGACUGGGGAAAAAAACAAAAACAAAAACACCAUUUAGGGAAGAACAGUUUAGAAAGCAGGUUUUUGCUUAAUAAACAGUGAUCAAUCGAAUCGAUUAACCAUGAGCACGUUCCCGGGGAGUCUGUGGGUGGUGCUUGUUGCUGCUAAUUGCAGUUCACGUGGGCCAGACUAUUACAGACGAUUUCCCAGCUCUCUGCAUUUAACAGGACUGGGGUGGGGGUGGGGGUUAGUGGGUAGGAGUACCCCUCUGUUGACAGCACUUUUCGGGCUGUGACUGUGCCUUGAGCCAGCCUUUGUUUCCAGCGUGUCUUUGCAAUUUCUCUAUCAAUUGUGGCUACUUACUAAGCACUUGCAGGCAUUUCUGGAAACCUCGCAUCUGUUUUUUGACUCAUUCACGUGGUAAUUAAAUCAUCUUGUGCUGGCUUUGGGGCUUUACAGAAACCUGAAGUGUUGGGAGCUGCCUGUGCAUCAGAAUUAGUACUGGGCAAGCCUUCUGGAGGUGAGCUUCCUGGUACCUUUGGCAAACUAGCUGCCUCUUGGGAGAUGCAGGUGAUGGAGAUGAAGGCGGUUUGUGCAGGAGGUCACUCGCCAUCCUGCUGAAGCUGCUAUCGGAGCCUGGAGCUGCAGCUGAUGGACGCAGGCUGGAGCAGGAAGCACGGCUGGGGUUCGUUGGUCUAAGAGGACACCCAGGCAUGGGUGAGUUUUAUGAGAUCCCCUGGUGACUCUCAAGUGCAUCCUGGCUGGAGAACUGAUAUAAACCAAGGAAGGACAGAAUCCCACCUGAUCCUGCAGGUUGCCUAGCCUGACAGCCAUUCCCUACCUUGACCCCUCCUAGAGCAGAAAGUGAGGAAUGAGAGCGUCUUGCAGGGGGUGGCCAUGUGGCAGAGCUGGUCAACAGAAUGCAAGGCAGAGUCCGCUGGCACGUGUUUCUGGGAAGCCUUUUUUUUCCUGUUAGAAGAGACGUAGAAGACCACCACCUCUUCCCCUUCUUGCCUUCAGUGGAGAUGUGGUGCCUGGAACACAUGCAGCUGUCUUGCAACCUUGAGGGUCGGGAAGAUUCCCCUGCAGGAGGAAAUGGCAACCCACCUCAGUAUUCUUGCCUGGAGAAUCCCAUGGACAGAGGAGCCUGGCAGGCUACAGUCCAUAGAGUCGCCAAGAGUCAGACACACCUGAAGUGACUUAACAGGUGAAUUCCGCAAGAAAAAUUGUUGGGCAAAAAAGCAUGAACAGUUUUAAUCAUCUCAAAGUUUGCGUAGAUUUAGUGAUGUGAUUUGUUUUGAUCAUGAUGAUGAAAUAAAUGGGCUAAUUUCUAGUU